rnacentral:rRNA from 1 species
AGCUCCAAGAGCGUAUAUUAAAGUUGUUGCAGUUAAAAAGCUCGUAGUUGGAUUUCUGGUGUAAUGCGCCUGGCCCGUGGUCGUAAGGCUUAUGUGUGCCGGUGCGCGUUCACCAUCCUUCUAGUAAACGUUUCUACCCUUAACUGGGCCGGAUUCGCGAACUAGAUCUUUUACUUUGAAAAAAUUAGAGUGUUUAAAGCAGGCUUUUGCUAUGAAUACAUUAGCAUGGAAUAAUAAUCUAGGACUUCGGUUCUAUUUUGUUGGUUUCUAGUACUGGAGUAAUGAUUGAUAGGGAUAGUUGGGGGUGCUAGUAUUGGCCGGCCAGAGGUGAAAUUCUUGGAUUCGGUCAAGACUAACUUAUGCGAAAGCAUUCACCAAGGAUGUCUUCUUUAAUCAAGAA